GACCAGAAGCAUGAUUCAGUUGGUAGAGCAUGAGACUCUUGAUCCUAGGGUUGUGGGUUUGAGCCCCACACUGGACA